GUUCUUAUUUAAAAAAAAUUUUUUUUUUCACAUUCCUAUUUCACUCUCCCAACUCUUGCUUUACAUUCUUUUACAUGCUAAAAGCCAUCAACAGUUGGAUCAGGUUAGAGAAUAUAAGGAAAAGGGAGGGAAAGACAUUUUCUGAAUACCUGCGAGUAUGAGACCUGAUGGUAGAAUGUGUUAAUGAUCACUGGCCCCCCACAACAAACCUUUGAGUACUUUGCUCAUGAGCAAUUUACUUGUUAGGAAUGUUACCCAAUAAACCACAUUUUCCACAAAGCAUUUAAAUGCUUUUCUGUGGAAGAUCUAGAAGUUAACCUUAUAAGACUGCUCAUUCUCUUUUUUCAGCCCUUGAUAGAAAAGUAAGACCCAAAAAAAUAUGAGUGUCCAUCUUUCUCAUGUUGUGAAACAGGUACUUUUGAAAUAGAUCUUACUGUUUGUUUUCCCAGCCUUACCAUGCUGGUCCCUGAAAUUAUUUUAUAAUAGCGAGCACUUUUAUUGAAUGCUUGUGACAUACCAAGUAUUGUUCUGACUCCUUUUUGUUGUUUUUUCUUGAUUACAAAGUAGUGAAUUGGUCUCUGACUUUGCUGAUCUCACUCCUUGAUCUUUGUCCUGUUCUAACUUGCCAAAACCACUCCACACCUUUCCCUACCAAAGGGUACUAAGUGAGUGCAUUUCUCAUCAGAUCAAAGUCAGACUUCUUGGUCCGUAGGGUCCUUCACAAAGUAAACUUAACCAUAUUCUCCUAAACGGUGGCUACUCCUCUUCCAUGAAUCAGACUCCUUUCUCAUCUCUGCAUUUACUUAAGCCUGGUGCUUUGACCUCUAAAUCUAAUGUCCUCUCACCUUGCUGAGCUCCCACACCCAUAACCCAAAUUCAUGGUAGUUCUAGGAAUAGUUGCUCCCCUUUCUGAAGAUUAUGGCACUCACUACCUUUUGUAGUUUGGUACUUGAUUAUAUUCAAUUUAGUUCUUCAUUAUACACACUGUUAUUUCCCUUUUGUAUGUCUUGGCUUCUAUAAUAAACCAAGAUACUGCAGGCUGCCAUUUGGUUUCUUUCUGAUUGAUACAGCACCUAGCACAGUGCUAAGCACCUUGUAGGUUUUCUGUGUGGAAUGUGCUCACUGAAGUUAGUCCACACUUUCCUUCUCUAAGAACGAAGAAGAUGCACAGAGGCAAUUAAUAAAAUACUUUUCAUAUUUCUUAAAGGUUUAGAUCUAGAAUAGCAACACCUAUAAGGGAAGGUAAACACACACACACACCCCAGCCUGUGAUGAAAGUAGAAACAUCGAAGGUAUCCAUGUGAUUAAGUCACAUCGCUAAGAUGUGACCACUAAGCUUGGCAUUAACUGGUAGAAGUACAGGGUAAGACAACAAGGGCCACAAAGUUAGCAGGCACACCAGUGGAAGGCCAAAGAACCCCUUGUCAUGGGGUUUCUUAUCUGGUUGAUAGUGAUUAUGUCCCAGUUUUGUUAUCUUCCAUUACAUUUUUAACCAUGUACCUGUAAUUCCCCUUUUAAAAUUUUAUCAUAAUCCCUAUUAUCAUUUUUUAAACCAGUAAGAUAUGCACUUAAUGAGGCAUAUUGGGUUUUUUUGUGUGGCCUUUAUUCCCAGGGCAUAUACCUUGAGGUAAACACGAGUUCAAGGCUCCUCUAUUGUAAUCAUGUAGACCUGUAAAUAUGGGAUGGACUGGGUUAAGGGAGAGCCCAGGGGGAAGCUCAGAAUCUUGGGAGAUAGUUGGUAAACAAUUGUAAUUCUCAAAUAAAAGCAGACCUGAAGAUGAAUGAUAAGUGAUGCAGUAUUGCUAAAGCCUCUCCCAGUCUUUUACUAUAUUUCACCAUUAUCUGUUAUUUGGACUUCUGCAUUUUCAUCAGUAACAUUGUAAAUUACAGACACACAGGCAUCAGGCACACAGUGUCAUCCAGUAGACUAAACUUUGUAAGGAUGGACACAGUUCUCAUUUCUCCUCAUUGCCUUGGACACAUAGCUGGGAUUUAGAAAAUAGUAGCUGGAUGAAAAAUGUUCUUUAGAUAUAGCAAAUACUCCAUUAUAUGAUGAUAUCGAUGGAAAAUAUAUGUAAAUACCUUUGCACUCCAGAGACAUUAUCUGAGGAGCAGAAAACCCUGGAACUUUGAGUAGUUUGUUCGUAUCCCUGUGUCAUCUCAGAAGUUCGUAAAGGCUGAAGUAUUCACUAAAGUUAAUCUAGGUAUUGAUGUUAAGAUGAUUAUAAAGGCUAUAGCCCAGCAUAAGUGAUGUUAUUAUAAUUGAAACAAGAAUGGUUAGUUUACAUGACAUACUUCUUUACUAAGAAUACCAGAUAGUUAGGGUAUAUAGCUAAUAAUGUUUUAUACAAAAUAGAAGCUUUCCUUGAGCGAUUUAAACAUUUUUAUAUAGUAUUGGAGAAUUGUAGGUUCUGGACACUGUUACUAUAGUUCUGAAUAGAACUGUCCUGUGAAGACCAGUUUUUCUCAGUUUGACAUCAUAUUUGGUAUAUGUGUUUUGCACACCUUAAUUAUUUGUCUUACAUUUUCUAUGGGGGAGCUAAUCUAAAAUAUAAACCAUUUGUGUUCUAAUAGUAUAACUUGUUUCCCUUAUUUAAUAAGAAUAAUUGUUGCUUAGAGCCUAAAAUUUAAGAAAAUAUAUUAAUGAGUAACUCAUUGCCCUUUAAUUCUUAUUUAUUAUGAGUAGAACUGGAAGAAAAGCUGAGGGCAAAUCUGCCUGAGGAGUAGUUCAUAAGAAGGACUUUUAGCAAAGUGUUCUUAUCUCCUACUGAGCUUUUGGAAAAUGCAGAGGAGGAAUGAUCCUGGCAUGUGAGAAUAGUACACACCCAGAUUAUAACGUGGCUCAGAAAAUAGCCUUAUUUUUUUUUUUUUUCCUUUCCUCAAGAUUAGAGAGCCCUAUGGCAUCUUGUUGAAUUUCCCCUUCCUACUUAAAUCUCUCAUGUCUUCCUCUGGAGUUAUUAGUCUUUCAAUUCUGCAUCCCCCUUUCUUUAUUUUCCAUCCAUCCUUUCAUUAUAUUGUUGUUAACAAUCACAGACUUACAGAAAAGAUGAAUUUAUAGUAAAAGAAUCUUUAAUGAAGCAUUUAAAAGUAAAUUCCCAAGCUAAUGGCCCAUCAUGUAUGAAUAUUUUAAUGGGUUUAGCUAAACACAUUCUCCUGCAUACAUACUCAUAAUGCAACCAUUAAAACCAAGAAAUUAACACAAGUAGAUUAUUAUACCUAAUUCUCAGAUCCCAUUCAUAUUUUGCCAGUUAUACCAAUAUCCUUUAUGGAAGAAGGAUCUCCCUCAGUAAAAUGCUAGCAAAUUGAAUCCAGCAAAAUAUAAAAGGACUAUGGGCCAAGACCAAGUGAUCUUUAUCACAGGAAUGCAAGUUUAGUUUACAAUCUGAAUUAAUGCAAUACACUAUGCAUAUUAAUCUGCUUGGGCCACUAUAACAGAACCCAGACUUGUGGUUUAAACAACAAGAUUUACUUUGUCACCGUUUUGGAGGCUAGGAAUUCAUGAUCAAGAAGCCAGCAAAUUUGGUUUCUGGUAAGAGCUCUCCUCCUGGCUUACAGAUGGCCUCCUUGUUGAUGUAUCCUCACAAGGCCUUUCUUCUGUGAGUAGAUGGAGAAAGAUCUCUUCCUCUUCUUGUGAGGACACCAGUUAUCAAGGUCAUGAUUAUGAUCUUGGUUUACUUUAUCCCAUUAAGGUGUUUUUUUGUUUGUUUGUUUGUUUGUUUGUUUUUUUAAGGGAGGUGGAGGAGCAGAGGGAGAGGGAGAGCGAGAAUGCUAAGCAGGCUCCAUGCCCAGCACAGAGCCUGACAUGGGGCUUGAUCCCAGGACCCUGAGAUCAUGACGUGAGCUGAAAUCAAGCAUCAGACACUCAAAUGACUGAGCUACCAGGUACCCCAUUAACUUUAUCCCUUAAUGCAGUCUCACCUGGGGUAGGGCUCCAACAUAGAAAUAUUUGGAGGACAUAAUUCAGUUUAUAACACUGUGUGAAAAGAAGAAAGCAUUUGACAGUAUACAACACACCUUCUUGAUGGAAAACACUCGAUAAACUAGAAGUAGAAGGAAACUUAGGCCCAUAAUGAGUAUUUACAAAAUACUUGCAGCUAGCAUCAUGUUUGAAGGUGAAAGACUGGAAACCUUCCUCCGGAUCAGGAACAAGACAAGGGUGUAUACUCUUGCCACUUCUAUUUAACAUUAUUCUGGAGGUUUUAUGCAGACCAAUUAGGCAAGAAAAUAAAAAGUAGCCAGAUCAGAAAAGAAGAAGUAACUAUACCUAUUUAUAGAUGAAAUGAUUUGUAUAUAGAAAAUCCUAAAAUCAGAACUAAUCCCAAUAAAAUCAGAACUAAUAAAUGAGUUCAGCAUGGUUUCAGGAUUCAAGAUCAAGGUACAAAAAUCAAUUUUAUAACUAUGCACUAUUAAUAAAUAACCCAAACAUGAUAAUAUAGUGGGCUGGAUUGUGUAUCCCCUGCCAAAAUUGAUUUUUGACAAAAGUGCCAAGAUAAUUUGGUAUUGAAAGUACAAUCUCUUCAACAGAUGUGUCACUGGGUCACUGGAUACCCACAUGCAAAUGAAUAAUUUGGAUUCCUACAUGACACCAUAUAAAAAGUAAGUCAAAAUGUAACAAACACUUAGAAGAAAACAUAGCCCUAAUCUUUUUGAGCUUGGAUUAGGUAGGCAAUGGUUUCUUAGCUAUGACACUGAAACACAAGUGGCAAAAGAAAAAACUAGAUAAAUUGAGCUUGAUAAAAAAAAAAAAAA
rnacentral:lncRNA from 1 species